AAAUUGAAGAGUUUGAUCAUGGCUCAGAUUGAACGCUGGCGGCAGGCCUAACACAUGCAAGUCGAACGGUAACAGGAAGCAGCUUGCUGCUUUGCUGACGAGUGGCGGACGGGUGAGUAAUGUCUGGGAAACUGCCUGAUGGAGGGGGAUAACUACUGGAAACGGUAGCUAAUACCGCAUAACGUCGCAAGACCAAAGAGGGGGACCUUCGGGC
rnacentral:rRNA from 1 species